rnacentral:rRNA from 1 species
GCCAAAUAUCUAGCCCACCUUAUUCUUAUGUAGUCCCCUAAUUUUUGAUUUCUAAUAAAACAUUUUUUUAUUUUAGUAUAGGAGAUAGAAAAACUUCUAGGCGCCUUAGAUAUAGUACCGCAAGGAAUGAUGAAAUAAAAAUGAAAUAAUUUUUAAGCCUUAAAUAGCAGAGAUUCCCCCUCGUACCUUUUGCAUCAUGGUCUAGCUAGUCUAACAAGCAAAAAGUCAUUUAAGUUUGACACCCCGAAACUAGGCGAGCUACUUGCAAACAGCCUAAUGGGCCAACCCGUCUCUGUUGCAAAAGAGUGGGAAGAUUUUUAAGUAGAGGCGACAAACCUACCGAGCCUAGAGAUAGCUGGUUGUUCAGGAAAAGAAUAUUAGUUCUCCCUUAAGUUUUGUUAUCCUUACAAAGACCUCCCUAAACUUAAGAGCUAUUUAAAUAAGGCACAGCUUAUUUAACACAGGGUACAACCUCUAAGACCGGGUAAAUUCGGACAGUAAAAACACAGUGGGCCUAAAAGCAGCCAUCUUCCAAAAGCGUUAAAGCUUAAUUUUAUUUGUUCACAAUUUUUUUUAUUACAAAUCAACCCCUCACUCGUACUGAACUAUUUUAUAUAUUUAUAAAAGCUAUUAUGCUAGAACUAGUAACAAGAAAUUGAUUUUCUCCAAAAUGUGAGUGUAACCCAGUAUAAACUCCCACUGACACCUAACGUAAAUGCUUUUAUUAUAACAACAAUGACCCAGCAAACCCUAUAAUCUAAAACGUUAACCUUACACAAGAACAUUUCAGGAAAGAUUAAAAGAGAAAGAAGGAACUCGGCAAACCUUAGCCCCGCCUGUUUACCAAAAACAUCGCCUCUUGAAUACAUAAGAGGUCCAGCCUGCCCAGUGACAAAGUUUAACGGCCGCGGUACCCUAACCGUGCGAAGGUAGCAUAAUCACUUGUUCUUUAAAUAGGGACUUGUAUCAACGGCAUCACGAGGGCUAUACUGUCUCCUUUCUCCAAUCAGUGAAACUGAUCUCCCCGUGAAGAAGCGGGGAUUUGUUUAUAAGACGAGAAGACCCCAUGGAGCUUUAAGCAAUAUAUUUACUCUUUUGCCAUAAACCAACUAACAGCAAAGACCUGAAUAAUAGCUUUAGGUUGGGGGACCGCGGAGAAUAAUAUAACCUCCACGACAAACGGCCAUGCCCUUAUCCACGAGCCGCAACUCUAAGAAUUAAUAAACUAAUGUUUUAUGACCCAAUUUUUUGAUUAACGAACCAAGUUACCCUGGGGAUAACAGCGCAAUCUACUUCAAGAGCCCUUAUCGACAAGUAGGUUUACGACCUCGAUGUUGGAUCAGGGCAUCCUAGUGGUGCAGCCGCUACUAAUGGUUCGUUUGUUCAACGAUUAAAGCCUUAA